UACGUAGGCAGCAAGCGUUGUUCGGAGUUACUGGGCGUAAAGGGUGCGUAGGCGGCUUGUUAGGUCACUGGUGAAAGUUUUCGGCCCAACCGGAAAAUUGCCUGUGAUACUGGCGAACUUGAGUGCGUGAGGGGUGAGUGGAAUUCCCAGUGUAGAGGUGAAAUUCGUAGAUAUUGGGAAGAACACCGGUGGCGAAGGCGGCUCACUGGCUCAUUUCUGACGCUCAGGCGCGACAGCGUGGGGAUCAAACAGG
rnacentral:rRNA from 1 species